UGCAAGUGCAUAGUUCACAGUAAACACGCUGAGAAUUCGAUACGGAGAACCAUGAAUCAAAAACUUAGCAUUCUACUACUCCUCGUUUCAGUUAUUCUGAUGACUGAAUUUUUCGUGAUACCAGUGGCAGCGGAGCUACCGAUAUGCAAAUCACUAAAAAAGAGUCAAUGCCAUAGUAUGAAAUACCGUAACAUGUGUAAGAGCAAAUGUUCAUGAAGGAUGCAAAUUUUUGACAGAUAGCGACAACACUACGAUAAACAUUGCUGCGAAGAAUACUAUGAAAU